GAAGAAUAAAAUAAAAAAUAAUAAAAUAAAAUAAAAAAUAAAAGUCAUUUUCAUCAUUCAUACACGGAUUAAUACAAUACAAAUUCAAAUUUCAAUUUCAUUUUCAUGCCUUUUCCUAUUUUUUUCUU
rnacentral:ribozyme from 14 species